GUUGGUUCUCCCGCAACGCUACUCUGUUUACCAGGUCAGGUCCGGAAGGAAGCAGCCAAGGCAGAUGACGCGUGUGCCGGGAUGUAGCUGGCAGGG
rnacentral:SRP_RNA from 1 species